AACGAACGCUGGCGGCAUGCCUAACACAUGCAAGUCGAACGAAGCCUUCGGGCUUAGUGGCGCACGGGUGCGUAACGCGUGGGAAUCUGCCCCUUGCUUCGGAAUAACAGUUAGAAAUGACUGCUAAUACCGGAUGAAGUCUUCGGACCAAAGAUUUAUCGGCAAGGGAUGAGCCCGCGUAGGAUUAGGUAGUUGGUGGGGUAAAGGCCUACCAAGCCGACGAUCCUUAGCUGGUCUGAGGGGAUGAUCAGCCACACUGGGACUGAGACACGGCCCAGACUCCUACGGGAGGCAGCAGUGGGGAAUAUUGGACAAUGGACGCAAGUCUGAUCCAGCAAUGCCGCGUGAGUGAUGAAGGCCUUAGGGUUGUAAAGCUCUUUUACCAGGGAUGAUAAUGACAGUACCUGGAGAAUAAGCUCCGGCUAACUCCGUG
rnacentral:rRNA from 1 species